AUGUUUAUCAUUAGUUACACGUGCAUGUACCCAGUGCCUGAUGACUGAUGUGUUUGUGCAGCGGCACGAUCCACCCGCUGAUCCCGAACAUGGCAUUCGUGGGGUUCGUGGAGAGCGCAUCGAACCUGCACACGUCGGAGCUGCGGUGCCGAUGGCUGGCGGGGCUGCUGGAGGGGCGAUUCGAGCUGCCUACCGUGCAGGCCAUGAUGAGGCACGUCGCCGGCGAGGCCGACGCCAUGCGUCGCACCACGCGGUUCUACCGCCGGCACUGCAUCUCCACCUACAGCAUCCACGACAGCGACGGCAUGUGCGCCGACCUGAGCUCCGCCACGCACCGCAAGACCAACUGGAUCUCCGAGCUCUUCGCUCCAUACAACAAGGAGGACUACAAGCAACAGUAACUACAUUUACUCGACCGCAUCAAUGGGCAAGCGUAGAGUACUUACGUGGUUCUGGGUUAAUGUACUCGACCGCAGCUAGCUACAAUAAUAUCGCUAAUAAGAAUUUCUAUAAACGUACGUAAGAGCAUCUCCAGCCGCGCUCCCAACAGGCCCUUCCCGGACGUUUUUGUCAUGCCGGCGCCGAAAAAACGGCCCAGUCGCCCUCCAAAAUCCCGUUUUUUGCCGGCUCAGACCGAAACUGAUGCCGGCGGACCCAGGCAGAACCCGACUCCCUGGGGAGCGCCUGGGGCGCCGGCACAAGCGAAAAGGACGCGUGGGUCUGUCCUGUCGGCGAGUCGAGCGCCUCUUCCCGCCGUUUCUUCCCGCUUUUCCCCACUUCCCUCCCAUUUUCUCCUUCCCUCCCGCCAAUCUCCCUCCCGCUCGCCUCCCAGCCGGCCGCCAUGCCACCGAAGAAGUACGUCGUCCCCCGUGCCGUGGCAACCGCGACCGCCUCCGUCGCCCAGCCGAAGCAGAGGAAGCCGAGGGCGCCGCCGUCCAAGCCAUUGGGCAUGACAAACGCCGAUUGGAGGGUGGAAGUGCAGCGCCGGGAGGCCGUCACCGCCGACCGGCGGAACAGGGCCCUCGCCAAGAAGGCCCGUGACAACGCGGCACGCGCGGCUGCGGCUGCCGCUUCGGCGGACCAAGCCGAGGCCGAGGUGACUCGCGCGGGGAUGAUGAAUCCACCCGGCAACCACGCGCAGUACGCGCCCUGGGGCCAGCAAGGCGUCGGGUCUCCGUCGCCACAGCCAUGGGGAUCAUCUUCGUCGGGCUACGCCGACGGGGACGCGCACGGUGGGUUCAACCCAAACAUCACUUUCCCCCAUGGACACCCGACCCAGCGCAGGCCCUCGCCCGCCUUCACCGGUGUGCAGUACCCUCCAUACAACUACUCGACGCCCGCGUACGCGUCCUCCCCGACGCCCACUCUCCGUCGUUGCGCGCUGCCCUUCUCGCACCUUUGCGACGUCGACGAGACCGAGGCCGACAUGGACGACAUCAUCGCGGAAGGUUCGGCCGCGGCCGCCGCGUCUCCCGGGUUCACCGCGGAUGAGACGGUGGAUCUCAGCGGCGGCAUGGACGGCGAGCUCGGCUACGUCUAUAGCGACGAGGAGCAGGAGGAGCAGGAGGAGGAGGACGAGGGGGAGGAGGAGGAGGAGGAGGAGGAGCCGGCGACUAUUCCGGCGAGGAGGCGCAAGAAGAAGAAGCGGACGGCCAGGUCAGGCGAGCCGCGCAUCAAGUGGGCGUCCAAGGAGGAGGAAUGCCUCGCCGAAGCAUGGAAAAUCGUCUGCCUCGACCCGACCACCGGCACGAACCAGAGCAUCGAGACGUACUGGGAGCGCAUCAAGGCCGAGUUCGACGAGCGCAAACUUGUCGACCCCUACUUCAAAGGCAUCUACAUGCAGCGCGGGUCGAAGGCGAUGGCGAACCAUUGGGGGUGUAUCCAGGGGCGUGCAACAAAUGGCAUGGGGUCGUCGAGGAGGUCGCCGCUCACCCAGAGAGCGGCGCCAGCAUUGAGGAUCAGGUAUGCCACGCCGGUCUCCCGCCUCCCUUCGCCGUGUACGCCCGCAAACUGUUUGUUCGUCCGCGCAGUUGCUGCGCAUGUUCGGCCUGUAUUGGCAGAGCAACAACAACGCCGAGUUCAAGUACCUCCACAUUUACAAGCACAUUGACAAGUGCGAGAAGUGGGCGGAAGUCCGGCGCACCCUCGACAAGGCCAAAGAGACCUACAAGCCGGACGCGCCGACCCCGGGUGCAUCAGAAGGGCCACCGGACGGCAACAAUGGUGCCAAGAAAGGGAAGCACGCCGAUGUGGCCACCGAUCACGUGCAGGAGUCCAUCCAGCACUGCCUCACCGAUGCACAGGUCCGGGCCGCCCUUCGUGAAGAGAAGACCGAGGCGCGGUGGUCGGCGUUGAUGUCGAGCAGCGCCGUCAAGCUCGACCUACUCCGGACCAACGUCGUCACGAAGAAGAGGAACACCGACCUGGCUUUCCUACUGGGUGGGGCGGACAUGCUCCAGAGUACCGACGAGGCGGUCAAGGCGUGGUACUUGGCGGAGCGUGGCCUCAUCAUGAACCAGCUUCCCUCGACGAUGCCGCCCACGCCCACGACGCCGCCGCCCACGCCCACGCCCACGCACACGCCGACGCCGCCGCCAAGCCCGAGCGAUUAUGCCGCCGACACUGCCCGCAGCACAGAAGCCACGCCGACACCGCCAAGCACAGAGACCCCGUCAAGCCCGCGCACGCCGACUCCACCGACGCCGGAGGCCGACCUCGCCGCCUAAUGCGCGCUUCCGUCCUUUCUAUUUUUUCUAUGCCAAACUUUUCAUCCGAUCGCCGAUCUACUGGCCGCUUGAUCGCCGUCCUGUGGCGUCUAUUUUGUGCGCGGGAAUGAGACUACGUUUGAAUUUGCCGUGGCUGGGGGGCGGCGCCUGGGGGCGUGGCUAGGAGCUAUGCCGCCCCCAGGGGCCGAUCUAGAGCCGGUUCGCCCCCAGGCCGCUCUUUUUCGGCGCCCUGGGGGGCUGAACGGCUGGAGAUGCUCUAAUAUGCUGAACUACUGCACUUAUUUCGACCUCUGUGCAACGGGUGGGAUGGGGGGGCUAACCAGGAGAAAUCCAUGGCUGGUCGCGGUGGCGGCACGCCGUUAUUCCUCCCAUUUGUCAGGUCAGCCUCCCUCCACCCACCAUCAUCUAGCCUCCCAGGUGAAAGCGCUUGAUGGGCGGUGGCGGUGCUCUCGGUGCCGUUCUCUUUCUUGCAGGCGAAGCCUUUGCGAGUUGUUUGGUUAGUGUGCGUUGUUGGGGUGCAUUUGGUGGCGGCCGUGAUGUGUCCUCUUCGUCCAAGCUUGAUGAUAUCCCUCCUCUGCGGUCAGGCCGUGGCAGUUCUGCUUGGGGGGAGCUUUGGCGGCUCGUCGGCUGCCCGUGGAUCCUCUCUAUGUGGCCAUCUUCCGGACACAACCAUUGUUGUUCUAGGUGGAACAUCUCCAUCUUCCGACGGUGCGGUGCUUAUCGAGCUAGGCGAGGCGACGAGGAUGUUGUAUCCUCCUUCGGAGAUGGAAUUGAAUAGUUGCACUGUGCUGGGAUCCGUAGUUGUUUGGUGAUCACAUUCCCUGUUGAUAUCGGGCAUCCCUUCUCCUCUGUGCCAGCAUGGUCCUAGUUCCCUAGUGCUUCGUUCUAGGAGGAGGGCCUCGAUGUCUUUAGCUACGUGCUUCUCUGAUUUAUCAUUCUAGUUUGUAGCUUUUGAGGCUCUGUUAGCUGCUUGCUAGCGCCUAUGUAUCUUACCGUGUUGUAUUUCCUUUCUUCGGUUCCAUGUGAUCUAUAAUCCAGUCCCAUUUCGGGGUGGUUGAUGUAUUUUCUCUUAAAAAUGUAUGUAAUAUGCUUCAACUAUAUUGUACCAUUGUGUAAGUUGUUAUAUUUUGAGAAAAGCUUUCGUCCUGCUUUAUAAAUAAAACUACUAGCAAGUUGUUGCGUGGCGAGGUGCUGGCCUUCUGCGCCUGUAGUGGCCGGCUGAUGGUGCUACGGUCCAUGUCUUGGUGGUGAUGAUUCAGAUUUGAUCGCGCGGAUGGUGGUGACUGUAACUGUACUGUAGCGACUUCCUACGGCUUCACGAUGGCGGUGAUCAUCGAGAGGUUUUCGGGAGGGUUCAUCUCUCCUGAUCUAAUGAUUAACUUCAGUGGUGAGCUACAAAUUAUGGAUGACGGCUUGACGGAGAGGGGUGGUAUCGCAUCGUAAAUAGUUGCGGGGAUCACAAAAAAUGGUGGCGACAACAUAUCAGUGACCUUGAUGGUGGUGCUAUCAAGCACCCGGUCUCGAGUUUCAGGACGAAAACCUAGGUUAGACCGAGUGGUUACACCUGACAAUGGUGAUGGUUUCCUUACUUUAUUAUUAGUCGUUAUCUUGUUGAAGGCAUUGCUCAGUCAGAUUCUUGAGGGUGAAAACUUAGAUUAUGGUCUUGUGGUUGGAUCCGACGACAGCGACGCUUGAGUGUCUCUUCGUUCCUGAAAGCAUUGUUGUUAAAGAAUCUCGUCGUUCAUGUGGUGUCAUGAGAUGGUUGGUGUGUUAGGGAACGUUGCAGAAAAUAAAAAAUUUCUAUGCUUCACCAAGAUCAAUCUAUGGAGUCAUCUACCAACGAGAGAGAGGAGUGCAUCUACAUACCCUUGUAGAUCGCAAGCGGAAGCGUUCAAGAGAAUGGGGUUGAUGGAGUCGUACUUGUCGUGAUCCAAAUCACCGAAGAUCCUAGUGCCGAACGGACGGCACCUCCGCGUUCAACACACGUACGGUUGGGGAAGACGUCUCCUCCUUAUUGAUCCAGCAAGGGGAAGGAGAGGUUGAUGGAGAUCCAGCAGGACGACGGUGUGGUGGUGGAAGUAGCGGGGAAUCUCGGCAAGGCUUCGCCAAGCUCAGCGAGAGGGAGAGGUGUUGCGGGGGGGGGGAGAGGGAGGCGCCAGGGACUAGGGUGCGUAGCCCUCCCUCCCCCCCUCUUUAUAUAGGGGGCCUGGGGGGCGCCGGCCCCCUAGAGAUCCAAUCUCUAGGGGCGGCGACGGCCAAAGGGGGGACUUGCCCCCCAAGUCAGGUGGGCGCCCCCCACCCCUAGGGUUUCCAACCCUAGGCGCAGGGGGAGGCCCAAGGGGGGGCGCACCAGCCCACCAGGGGCUGGUCCCUUCCCACUUCAGCCCAUGGGGCCCUCUGGGAUAGGUGGCCCCACCCGGUGGACCCCCGGGACCCUUCCGAUUGUCCCGGUACAAUACCGGUGACCCCCGAAACUUUCCCGAUGGCCGAAACUGGACUUCCUAUAUACAAAUCUUCACCUCCAGACCAUUCCGGAAUUCCUCGUGACAUUCGGAUCUCAUCCAGGACUCUGAACAACUUUCAGGUUACCGCAUACUAAUAUCUCUACAACCCUAGCGUCACCGAACCUUAAGUGUGUAGACCCUACGGGUUCGGGAAUCACGCAGACAUGACCGAGACAGCUCUCCGGCCAAUAACCAAUAGCAGGAUCUGGAUACCCAUGUUGGCUCCCACAUGUUCCACGAUGAUCUCAUCGAAUGAACCACGAUAUCGAGGAUUCAAGUAAUCUCGUAUAUAAUUCCAUUUGUCAAUCGGUACGUUACUUGCGCGAGAUUAGAUCGUCGGUAUCCCAAUACCUCGUUCAAUCUCGUUACCGGCAAGUCACUUUACUCGUACCGUAAUGCAUGAUCCUGUGACCAACUACUUGGUCACAUUGAGCUCAUUAUGAUGAUGCUUUACCGAGUGGGCCCAGAGAUACCUCUCCGUCAUACGGAGUGACAAAUCCCAGUCUCGAUCCGUGUCAACCCAACAGACACUUUCGAGGAUACCUGUAGUAUACCUUUAUAGUCACCUAGUUACGUUGUGACGUUUGGUACACCCAAAGCACUCCUACGGUAUCCGGGAGUUACACAAUCUCAUGGUCUAAGAAAAUGAUACUUGACAUUGGAAAAGCUCUAGCAAACGAACUACACGAUCUUGUGCUAUGCUUAGGAUUGGGUCUUGUCCAUCACAUCAUUCUCCUAAUGAUGUGAUCCCAUUAUCAAUGACAUCUAAUGUCCAUAGUCAGGAAACCAUGACUAUCUGUUGAUCAAUGAGCUAGUCAACUAGAGGCUCACUAGGGACAUGUUGUGGUCUAUGUAUUCACACAUGUAUUACGAUUUUCGGAUAACACAAUUAUAGCAUGAAUAAUAGACAAUUAUGAUGAACAAGGAAAUAUAAUAAUAAUCAUUUUAUUAUUGCCUCUAGGGCAUAUUUCCAACAGUCUCCCACUUUCACUAGAGUCAAUAAUCUAGUUACAUUGUGAUGAAUCGAACACCCAUAGAGUUCUGGUGUUGAUCAUGUUUUGCUCGCGGAAGAGGUUUAGUCAGCGGAUCUGCGACAUUCAGAUCUGUAUGCACUUUGCAAAUAUCUAUGUCUCCAUCUUGAACAUUUUCACGAAUGGAGUUGAAGCGACGCUUGAUGUGCCUGGUCUUCUUGUGAAACCUGGGCUCCUUGGCAAGGGCAAUAGCUCUAGUGUUUUCACAGAAGAGAGUGAUCGGCCUCGAUGCAUUGGGUAUGACUCCUAGGUCGGUGAUGAACUCCUUCAUCCAUAUUGCUUCAUGCGCUGCCUCCGAGGCUGCCAUGUACUCCGCUUCACAUGUAGAUCCCGCAACGACGCUUUGCUUGCAACUGCACCAGCUUACUGUCCCACCAUUCAAAAUAUACACGUAUCCGGUUUGUGACUUAGAGUCAUCCAGAUUUGUGUCAAAGCUAGCGUCGAUGUAACCCUUUACGACGAGCUCUUCGUCACCAUAUAAACGAGAAACAUAUCCUUAGUCCUUUUCAGGUACUUCGGGAUAUUCUUGACCGCUGCCCAGUGUUCCAUGCUGGGAUUACUUUGGUACCUUCCUACCAAACUUACGGCAAGGUUUACAUCAGGUCUGGUACAUAGCAUGGCAUACAUAAUAGACCCUAUAACCGAGGCAUAGGGGAUGACACUCAUUUUUUCUCUAUCUUCUGCCGUGGUCGGGCAUUGAGCCGAGCUCAAUUUCACACCUUGCAACACAGGCAAGAACCCCUUCUUGGACUGAUCCAUAUUGAACUUCUUAAUAUCUUAUCAAGGUAUGUGCUUUGUGAAAGACCUAUGAGGCGUCUGGAUCUAUCCCUAUAGAUCUUGAUGCCUAAUAUGUAAGCAGCUUCUCCAAGGUCCUUCAUUGAAAAACACUUAUUCAAGUAGGCCUUAAUGUUGUCCAAAAGUUCUAUAUCAUUUCCCAUCAAAAGUAUGUCAUCUACAUAUAAUAUGAGAAAUGCUACAGAGCUCCCCCUCACUUUGUUGCAAACGCAGGCUUCUCCAUAAGUCUGCAUAAACCCAAACGCUUUGAUCAUCUCAUCAAAGCGAAUGUUCCAACUCCGAGAUGCUUGCACCAGCCCAUAAAUGGAUCGCUGGAGCUCGCAUACCUUGUUAGCAUUCUUAGGAUCGACAAAACCUUCCGGCUGCAUCAUAUACAGUUCUUCCUUUAGAUAGCCGUUAAGGAAUGUCGUUUUGACGUCCAUUUGCCAUAUCUCAUAAUCAUAGUAUGCGGCAAUUGCUAACAUGAUUCGGACGGACUUCAGCUUCGCUACGGGAGAGAAAGUCUCAUCAUAGUCAACCCCUUGAACUUGCCGAUAACCCUUAGCGAUAAGUCGAGCUUUAUAGAUGGUAACAUUACCAUCCGCGUCCGUCUUCUUCUUAAAGAUCCAUUUGUUUUCUAUCGCUCGCCGAUCAUCAGGCAAGUCUGUCAAAGUCCACACUUUGUUUUCAUACAUGGAUCCUAUCUCGGAUUGCAUGGCUUCAAGCCAUUUGUUGGAAUCUGGGCCCGCCAUCGCUUCUUCAUAGUUCGAAGGUUCACCGUUGUCUAACAACAUGAUUUCUAGGACAGGGUUGCCAUACCAUUCUGGUGUGGAACGUGUCCUUGUGGACCUACGAAGUUCAGUAGCAACUUGAUCCGAAGUACCUUGAUCAUCAUCAUUAACUUCCUCUCCAGUCGGUGCAGGCACCACAGGAACAUCUUCCUGAGCUGCGCUACUUUCCGGUUCAAGAGGCAGUACUUCAUAGAGUUCUACUUUCCUCCCACUUAUUUCUUUCGAGAGAAACUCUUUCUCCAGAAAGGACCCAUUCUUGGCAACAAAGAUCUUGCCUUCGGAUCUAAGGUAGAAGGUAUACCCAAUGGUUUCCUUAGGGUAUCCUAUGAAGACGCAUUUUUCCGACUUGGGUUCGAUAUUUUCAGGUUGAAGUUUCUUGACAUAAGCAUCGCAUCCCCAAACUUUUAGAAAUGAUAGCUUAGGUUUCUUCCCAAACCAUAAUUCAUACGGUGUCGUCUCAACGGAUUUAGACGGUGCCCUAUUUAAAGUGAAUGUAGCUGUCUCUAGAGCGUAUGCCCGAAAUGAUAGCGGUAAAUCGGUGAGUGACAUCAUAGAUCGCACCAUAUCCAAUAGAGUGCGAUUACGACGUUCGGACACACCAUUAUGUUGAGGUGUUCCAGGCGGCGUGAGUUGUGAAACGAUUCCACAUUUCCUUAAGUGUGUACCAAAUUCGUGACUUAAAUAUUCUCCUCCACGAUCUGAUCGUAAGAACUUUAUUUUUUGGUCAUGUUGAUUCUCUACCUCAUUCUGAAAUUCCUUGAACUUUUCAAAGGUCUCAGACUUUUGUUUCAUCAAGUAGACAUACCCAUAUCUACUCAAGUCAUCAGUGAGAGUGAGAACAUAAUGAUAGCCUCCGCGAGCCUCAACGCUCAUUGGACCGCACACAUCAGUAUGCAUAAUUUCCAAUAAGUUGGUUGCUUGCUCUAUUGUUCCGGAGAACGGAGUCUUGGUCAUUUUACCCAUGAGGCAUGGUUCGCACGUGUCAAAUGAUUCAAAAUCAAGAGACUCCAAAAGUCCAUCUGUAUGGAGCUUGUUCAUGCGUUUUACACCAAUGUGACCAAGGCGGCAGUGCCACAGAUAUGUGGGACUAUCAUUAUCAAUCUUACAUCUUUUGGUAUUCACACUAUGAAUAUGUGUAACAUCACGUUCGAGAUUCAUUAAGAAUAAACCAUUGACCAGCAGGGCAUGACCAUAAAACAUAUCUCUCAUAUAAAUAGAACAACCAUUAUUCUCGGAUUUAAAUGAGUAGCCAUCUCGUAUUAAACGAGAUCCAGAUACAAUGUUCAUGCUCAAAGCUGGCACUAAAUAACAAUUAUUGAGGUUUAAAACUAAUCAUGUAGCUAAAUGUAGAGGUAGUGUGCCGACGGCGAUCACAUCGACCUUGGAACCAUUCCCGACGCGCAUCGUCACCUCGUCCUUCGCCAGUCUCCGUUUAUUCUGCAGCUCCUGUUUUGAGUUACAAAUAUGAGCAACCGCACCGGUAUCAAAUGUCCAGGAGCUACUAUGAGUACUGGUAAGGUACACAUCAAUUACAUGUAUAUCACAUAUACCUUUAGUGUUGCCGGCCUUCUUGUCUGCUAAGUACACCCAAAGCACUCCUACGGUAUCCAGGAGUUACACGAUCUCAUGGUCUAAGGAAAUGAUACUUGACAUUGGAAAAGCUCUAGCAAACGAACUACAUGAUCUUGUGCUAUGCUUAGGAUUGGGUCUUGUCCAUCACAUCAUUCUCCUAAUGAUGUGAUCCCGUUAUCAAUGACAUCCAAUGUCCAUAGUCAGGGAACCAUGACUAUCUGUUGAUCAACGAGCUAGUCAACUAGAGGCUCACUAGGGACAUGUUGUGGUCUAUGUAUUCACACAUGUAUUACGAUUUCCGGAUAACGCAAUUAUAGCAUGAAUAAUAGACAAUUAUCAUGAACAAGGAAAUAUAAUAAUAAUCAUUUUAUUAUUGCCUCUAGGGCAUAUUUCCAACAUGGUGUAGUUUGUCGAUCGCAGAUCUGACUGUUUUUUAUUUUCUUUCCCUCGCCUACGCAUAGCAUUGAUCUUAUGGGCGUGUUUGGUUGCUGUUAGCUACAGUAGUUGCAUUGCAUAGCCUUCUCAACUCAGCCUGGCUAUGCAAAUGCAGCCUCAAAUGCACCAUAUGCAAGUUGUUUGGUUGCAUGUAUGCCCUCUUGCCUGCAUGGGAUGAACCACACUGCCUGGUGUUUGGUUGCCUGCAUGUUAGUGGACAAACCCAAGACAUGGCGUUUGGUUGUAUGCAACGCCUGGUGUGUGGUAACCUCUUUGGCUAGUUGGUGAGUUUACCAGCACAGUUCGGCACAACCAUGUAGCACACAUCAUAAGCAGAGCAGAGUAUAAAUAGAGGAUAAUCAGCACCACACUUCAUAUUUCAGACAAGCAGUACCACACUUCAUAACAGUUCAACGCAUAAACCAUAAACAGUACAAAGCAGACUCGAUAGUAAUUAGAAAGGAGGUGCCCCGGCCCUACUCCUUGGCGGCGAAGGCUUCGUCGUGCUUCCCUCACUUGUUGACAACCUCAAUGACAUCCUUGUCGAAGAUGAUGACCUUGAGGGUGUCAGGAGUGAGGAGCUUGAACGUCACCAUGUAGCCGAUCUUGAUCUAAUGAACGGCUGUGUAGGUGGCCCAACCCUGAUCCAGGGACACCCUGCCGUUCAUCAGCUUCACCGUCACCUUCCAGGAGCAGCCGGUGUUGUUCCUGAGCUUGAACUAUGUCGGCACCGUGACGAAGUGCUUGGUGAAGUCCAGGGGCAUGGGGAUGCACUCCUCAUGGUAGUGGCCGUAGUUGCAGCGCUUGUUGCUGGGAGGGCUCCUCCUUGCAUUCGCCGUCGCCAACCUCAGGCGUCUUCGGGUCUUCCUCGGCAGUGGGCGGCAUCACAACCUCCUCGGACAUUGGAUGAAGGGGCUGCUUGCCCUUGUUGUCAACGGCCGGGAGCACCCCCAUGCCCAUCUCAUUGCUCUCCUCGAUCUGCACACAAUUCAUGGAGUCAAGCACAGCACAGAGUUCAUGGCUUAUUGAAGAACAUGUAGUUAAAACACAUGACUGUCACUCUUCCUCCUCUCCAUCGUGCCUAUAUUUACUCACCCUGCCCACCACUACUUACCCACUGUUGGAGAUAUGCCCUAGAGGCAAUCAUGUGAUGAUGAUAUUUCCAUAUGUAUUCAUGAAUCCUUUGUAUUGUCCUUGAACAUCAUCAAUGAUAUGUAUCAAUAAGUAUGUGACUUGUUUGUGGAACUAUGUAUUGUAUGAUGAUUGUUCUAAUGGUCCCUAGUUGAUAAGGUUAUGCGGACACAUAUCCUUGACUAGUAUACGACCUAGUUGAUGACUAUGUUUCACAUGUCAUGUGCAUGGAGAUGCUAAACUGAUAGUAUGGGCUCGGGGAUGGAAAUCAUCGAGUUGGACAGACCCACUUUGAGAUGCGGCGAGAUAUAGUCAUCUGUUAGUCUCAAGUACAAUGUCUAUGCCAUGUCCUAGACCUGAGGUCCUUGCAUGUUCUCGGGAUGAGGAUCGACUCACUUAUGGUCUAUCAAACGCUACUCCGUAACUGGGUAGUUAUAAAAGGUAGCUUUCGGGUGAGUCUUGAAACAUGCCGCGAGACAUGGUUGACCAAGAUGGGAUUUGCCCCUUCUGUUUGGAGAGAUAUUCUCUGGGCCCUCUUGAGUGAUCAGAUUCAGAAAGCAUGGCCAUGUGAUGUCUGCUAGAACUACAUCGGUAUUUCCCCAAAGAGGAAGGGAUGAUGCAGUAUAGCGAUGGUAGGUAUUUCCCUUAGUGAUGAGACCAAGGUUAUCGAACCAGUAGAAGAACCUCCUCACACCACGUAAACAACACCUGCACACAAAUAACAAAUACUCGCAACCCGACGUGUUAAAGGGGUUGUCAAUCCCCUCCGGGUACGGUGCCUCAAGAUAGGCAAAAACGUGAAGUAAAAAGUGGUAGAUAGGAUAAAUAGAUCACGGAACAAAUAAAUUGCAGCAAGGUAUUUUUGUAUUUUUGGUUUAAUAGAUCUGAAAAUAAAUGCAAGAGAAAAUAGAUCGCAAAGGCAAAUAUGAUGAAAAGAGACCCGGGGGCCGUAGGUUUCACUAGUAGCUUCUCGCGAGGAAAAUAGCAAACCGUGGGAAAACAAUUACUGUUGGGCAAUUGAUAGAACUUCAGAUAAUCAUGACGAUAUCCAGGUAAUGAUCAUUAUAUAGGCAUCACAUCCAAGAUUAGUAGAUCGACUCCUGCCUGCAUCUACUACUAUUACUCCACACAUCGACCGCUAUCCAGCAUGCAUCUAGUGUAUUAAGUUCAUGAGAAAACGGAAUAAUGCAAUAAGAACGAUGACAUGAUGUAGACGAGAUCCGUUUAUCUAUGCGGAGAUAUAGAUCUCGUCUUGUUAUCCUUAGUAGCAACGAUACAUACAUGUCGGUUCCCCUUCUGUCACUGGGAUCAAGCACCGUAAGAUCGAACCCACUACAAAGCACAUCUUCCCAUUGCAAGAUAAAUAGAUCAAGUUGGCCAAAUAAAACCCAAAUAUCGGAGAAGAAAUACGAAGGUAUAAGCAAUCAUGCAUAUAAGAGAUCAAAGAAGACUCAAAUAACUUUCAUGGGUAAAAACAUAGAUCUGAUCAUAAACUCAAAGUUCACCGGAUCCCAACAAACGCACCGCCAAAAGACUUACAUCAUAUGGAUCUCCAAGAGACCAUUGUAUUGAUAAUCGAGAGAGAGAGGAGAGAGAGGAAGCCAUCUAGCUACUAACUACGGACUCAUAGGUCUACAAAGAACUACUCCCGCAUCAUAGGAGAGGCACCAAUGGAAGUGGUGAACCCCUCCAUGACGGUGUCUAGAUUGGAUCUGGUGGUUCUGGACUCUGCGGCGGCUGGAUCAAUAUUUCAUCGCCUCCCCUAGGGUUUCUGGAAUAUUGUGGUAUUUAUAGAGCAAAAAAGCGGUUCGGCGGGCACCCGAGGUGGGCAGUACCUGAAGGAAAUAUGCCCUAGAGGCAAUAAUAAAGUUAUUAUUUAUUUCCUCAUAUCAUGAUAAAUGUUUAUUAUUCAUGCUAGAAUUGUAUUAACCGGAAACAUGAUACAUGUGUGAAUACAUAGACAAACAUAUAGUCACUAGUAUGCAUCUACUAGACUAGCUCGUUAAUCAAAGAUGGUUAUGUUUCCUAACCAUAGACAUGUGUUGUCAUUUGAUUAAUGGGAUCACAUCAUUAGGAGAAUGAUGUGAUUGACAUGACCCAUUCCGUUAGCCUAGCACUUGAUCGUUUAGUAUAUUGCUAUUGCUUUCUUCAUGACUUAUACAUGUUCCUGUAACUAUGAGAAUUAUGCAACUCCCGUUUACCGGAGGAACACUUUGGGUACUACCAAACGUCACAACGUAACUGGGUGAUUAUAAAGGAGUACUACAGGUGUCUCCGAAGGUACAUGUUGAGUUGGCGUAUUUCGAGAUUAGGUUUUGUCACUCCGAUUGUCGGAGAGGUAUCUCUGGGCCCUCUCGGUAAUGCACAUCACUAUAAGCCUUGCAAGCAAUGUGACCAAAUGAGUUGGUUACGGGAUGAUGCAUUGCAGAACGAGUAAAGAGACUUGCCGGUAACGAGAUUGAACUAGGUAUUGGAUACCGACGAUCAAAUCUCGGGCAAGUAACAUACCGAUGACAAAGGGAACAACGUAUGUUGUUAUGCGGUUUGACCGAUAAAGAUCUUCGUAGAAUAUGUAGGAACCAAUAUGAGCAUCCAGGUUCCGCUAUUGGUUAUUGACCGAGAAUAGUUCUAGGUCAUGUCUACAUAGUUCUCGAACCCGUAGGGUCCGCACGCUUAACGUUACGAUGACAGUUUUAUUAUGAGUUUAUAAGUUUUGAUGUACCGAAGUUUGUUCGGAGUCCCGGAUGUGAUCAGGGACGUAACGAGGAGUCUUGAAAUGGUCGAGACAUAAAGAUUGAUAUAUUGGAAGCCUAUAUUUGGACAUUUGGAAUCGUUCCGGGUGAAAUCGGCAUUUUACCGGAGCACCUGGAGGUUACCGGAACCCCCCCGGGAGGUUAUUGGGCCUACAUGGGCCUCGAGGGAGAAGAGGGAAGGAGGCAGGAGGGGGCCGCGCACCCCUCCCCUUCCUAGUCCGAAUAGGACAAGGGAAGGGGGGCGGCGCCCCCCUUUCCUUUCCCUCUUCCUCCUCUUUCCCCCCUUCUCCUAUUCCAACUAGGAAAGAAGGGAGUCCUACUCCCGGUGGGAGUAGGACUCCCCCCCUUGGCGCGCCCUCCUUGGCCGGCCGCCUCCUUCCCCCCUGGCUCCUUUAUAUACGGGGGCGGGGGGGCACCCAUAGACACACAAGUUGAUCCACGGAUCGUUCCAUAGCCGUGUGCGGUGCCCCCCUCCACCAUAUUCCACCUCAGUCAUAUCGUCGCGAAGCUUAGGCGAGGCCCUGCGCCGGUAGAACAUCAUCAUUGUCACCACGCCGUCGUGCUAACGGAACUCAUCCCCGAAGCUUUGCUGGAUCAGAGCCCGGGGAUCGUCAUCGAGCUGAACGUGUGCUGAACUCGGAGGUGCCGUACGUUCGGUGCUUGGAUCGGUUGGAUCGUAAACACGUACGACUACAUCAACCGCGUUGUGCUAACGCUUCCUCUUACGGUCACGAGGGUAUGUGGACAACACUCUCCCCUCUCGUUGCUAUGCCAUCACCAUGAUCUUGCGUGUGCGUAGGAAAUUUUUUGAAAUUACUACGUUCCCCAACAGUGGCAUCCGAGCCAAGUUUUAUGCGUUGAUGUUAUAUGCACGAGUAGAACACAAGUGAGUUAUGGGCGAUACAAGUCAUACUGCUUACCAGCAUGUCAUACUUUGGUUCAGCGGUAUUGUGAGAUGAAGCGGCCCGGACCGACAUUACGCGUACGCUUACGCGAGACUGGUUUCACCGUUGCGAGCACUCGUGCUUAAAGGUGGCUGGCGGGUGUCUGUCUCUCUCACUUUAGCUGAAUCGAGUGUGGCUACGCCCGGUACUUGCGAAGGUUAAAACAGUACCAACUUGACGAACUAUCGUUGUGGUUUUUAUGCGUAGGUAAGAACGGUUCUUGCUAAAGCCCAUAGCAGCCACGUAAAAUUUGCAACAACAAAGUAGAGGACGUCUAACUUGUUUUUGCAGGGCAUGUUGUGAUGUGAUAUGGUCAAGACGUGAUGCUUUAUUUUAUUGUAUGAGAUGAUCAUGUUUUGUAACCGAAGUUAUCGGCAACUGGCAGGAGCCAUAUGGUUGUCGCUUUAUUGUAUGAAAUGCAAACGCCCUGUAAUUGCUUUACUUUAUCUCUAAGCGGUAGCGAUAGUCGUAGAAGCAAUAGAUGGCAUAACGACAAUGAUGCUACGAUGAAGAUCAUGGUGUCGCGCCGGUGACGAUGGUCAUCACGACGGUGCUUCGAAGAUGGAGAUCACAAGCACAAGAUGAUGAUGGCCAUAUCAUAUCACUUAUAUUGAUUGCAUGUGAUGUUUAUCCUUUAUGCAUCUUAUCUUGCUUUGAUUGACGGUAGAAUUUUAAGAUGAUCUCUCACUAAAAAUCAAGAAGUGUUCUCCCUGAGUAUGCACCGUUGCGAAAGUUCUUCGUGCUGAGACACCACGUGAUCGGGUGUGAUAGGCUCUACGUUCAAAUACAACGGGUGCAAAACAGUUGCACACGCGGAAUACUCAGGUCAUACUUGACGAGCCUAGCAUAUACAGAUAUGGCCUCGGAACACGGAGACCGAAAGGUCGAGCGUGAAUCAUAUAGUAGCUAUGAUCAACAUAGUGAUGUUCACCAUUGAAACUACUCCAUCUCACGUGAUGAUCGGACAUGGUUUAGUUGAUUUGGAGAUGACUAGAGAGAUGUCUGUCUAAGUGGGAGUUCUUAAGUAAUAUGAUUAAUUGAACUUAAAUUUAUCAUGAAACUUAGUACCUGAUAGUAUUUUGCUUGUCUAUGUUUGUUUGUAGAUAGAUGGCUCGUGUUGUUGUUGUUCCGUUAAAUUUUAAUGCGUUCCUUGAGAAAGCAAAGUUGAAAGAUGAUGGUAGCAAUUACACGGACUGGGUCCGUAACCUGAGGAUUAUCCUCAUUGCUGCACAGAAAAGUUACGUCCUGGAAGCACCGCUGGGUGCCAGGCCUGCUGCUGAUGCAACUGACGAUGUUAAGAACGUCUGGCAGAGCAAAGCUGAUGACUACUCGAUAGUUCAGUGUGCCAUGCUUUACGGCUUAGAACCGGGUCUUCAACGACGUUUUGAACGUCAUGGGGCAUAUGAGAUGUUCCAGGAGUUGAAGUUAAUAUUUCAAGCAAAUGCCCGGAUUGAGAGAUAUGAAGUCUCCAAUAAGUUCUACAGCUGCAAGAUGGAAGAGAAUAGUUCUGUCAGUGAACACAUACUCAAAAUGUCUGGGUAUAAUAAUCACUUGAUUCAACUGGGAGUUAAUCUUCCUGAUGAUAGUGUCAUUGACAGAAUUCUUCAAUCACUGCCACCAAGCUACAAGAGCUUCGUGAUGAACUAUAAUAUGCAAGGGAUGAACAAGACUAUUCCCGAGCUCUUCGCAAUGCUAAAAGCCGCGGAGGUAGAAAUCAAGAAGGAGCAUCAAGUGUUGAUGGUUAACAAAACCACCAGUUUCAAGAAAAAAGGCAAAGGGAAGAAGAAGGGGAACUUCAAAAAGAACAGCAAGCAAUUUGCUGCUCAAGAGAAGAAACCCAAGCCUGGACCUAAGCCUGAAACUGAGUGCUUCUACUGCAAGCAGACUGGACACUGGAAGCGGAACUGCCCCAAGUAUUUGGCGGAUAAGAAGGAUGGCAAAGUGAACAAAGGUAUAUGUGAUAUACAUGUUAUUGAUGUGUACCUUACUAAUGCUCGCAGUAGCACCUGGGUAUUUGAUACUGGUUCUGUUGCUAAUAUUUGCAACUCGAAACAGGGACUACGGAUUAAGCGAAGAUUGGCUAAGGACGAGGUGACGAUGUGCGUGGGAAAUGGUUCCAAAGUCGAUGUGAUCGCGGUCGGCACGCUACCUCUACAUCUACCAUCGGGAUUAGAUUUAGACCUAAAUAAUUGUUAUUUGGUGCCAGCGUUAAGCAUGAACAUUAUAUCUGGAUCUUGUUUGAUGCGAGACGGUUAUUCAUUUAAAUCAGAGAAUAAUGGUUGUUCUAUUUAUAUGAGUAAUAUCUUUUAUGGUCAUGCACCCUUGAAGAGUGGUCUAUUUUUAUUAAAUCUCGAUAGCAGUGAUACACAUAUUCAUAGUGUUGAAACCAAAAGAUGCAGAGUUAAUAAUGAUAGUGCAACUUAUUUGUGGCACUGCCGUUUAGGUCAUAUCGGUGUAAAGCGCAUGAAGAAACUCCAUACUGAUGGGAUUUUGGAAUCACUUGAUUAUGAAUCACUUGGUACUUGCGAACCGUGCCUCAUGGGCAAGAUGACUAAAACGCCGUUCUUCGGAACUAUGGAGCGAGCAACUGACUUGUUGGAAAUCAUACAUACUGAUGUUUGUGGUCCAAUGAAUGUUGAGGCUCGCGGCGGAUCUCGUUAUUUUAUCACCUUCACAGAUGAUUUGAGCAGAUAUGGGUAUAUCUACUUGAUGAAACACAAGUCUGAAACAUUUGAAAAGUUCAAAGAAUUUCAGAGUGAAGUAGAAAAUCAUCGUAACAGGAAAAUAAAAUUUCUACGAUCUGAUCGUGGAGGAGAAUAUUUGAGUUACGAGUUUGGUCUACACUUGAAACAACACGGAAUAGUUUCGCAACUCACGCCACCUGGAACACCACAAUGAAAUGGUGUGUCCGAACGUCGUAAUCGUACUUUACUAGAUAUGGUGCGAUCUAUGAUGUCUUUUACUGAUUUACUGCUAUCGUUUUGUGGUUAUGCUUUAGAGACGGCCGCAUUCACGUUAAAUAGGGCACCAUCAAAAUCCGUUAAGACGACGCCUUAUGAACUAUGGUUUGGCAAGAAACCAAAGUUGUCAUUUCUUAAAGUUUGGGGCUGCGAUGCUUAUGUGAAGAAACUUCAACCAGAUAAGCUCGAACCCAAAUCGGAGAAAUGUGUCUUCGUAGGAUACCCAAAAGAGACUAUUGGGUACACCUUCUAUCACAGAUCUGAGGGCAAGAUUUUCGUUGCUAAAAUCGGAUCCUUUCUAGAGAAGGAGUUUCUCUCGAAAAAAGUGAGUGGGAGGAAAGUAGAACUUGAUGAGAUAACUGUAUCUACUCCCUUAUUGGAAAGUAGUUCAUCACAAGAACCGGUUCCUAUGACAACUACUCCAAUUAGUGAGGAAGCUAAUGAUAUUGAUCAUGAAACUUCAGAUCAAGUUUCUACUGAACCUCGUAGGUCUACCAGAAUAAGAUCCGCACCAGAGUGGUACGGUAAUCCAAUUCUGGAAGUCAUGUUGCUUGACCAUGAUGAACCUAUGAACUAUGAGGAAGCGAUGAUGAGCCCAGAUUCUGCAAAAUGGCUAGAGGCCAUGAAAUCUGAGAUGGGAUCCAUGUAUGAAAACAAAGUAUGGACUUUGGUUGACUUGCCCGAUGAUCGGCAAGCCAUUGAGAAUAAAUGGAUUUUUAAGAAGAAGACUGACACUGAUGGAAAUAUAAUUGUCUAUAAAGCUCGACUUGUUGCGAAAGGUUUUCGACAAGUUCAAGGGGUUGACUAUGCUGAUACUUUCUCACCCGUAGCGAUGCUUAAGUCUAUCCGAAUCAUGUUAGCUAUUGCUGCAUUUCAUAAUUAUGAAAUUUGGCAAAUGGAUGUCAAAACUGCAUUCUUGAAUGGAUUUCUGGAAGAAGAGUUGUAUAUGAUGCAGCCAGAAGGUUUUGUAGAUCCAAAAGGUGCUAACAAAGUGUGCAAGCUCCAGCGUUCUAUUUAUGGACUGGUGCAAGCAUCUCGGAGUUGGAAUAAACGCUUUGAUAGUGUGAUCAAAGCAUAUGGUUUUAUACAGACUUUUGGAGAAGCCUGUAUUUACAAGAAAGUGAGUGGGAGCUCUGUAGCAUUUCUGAUAUUAUAUGUAGAUGACAUAUUAUUAAUUGGAAAUGAUAUAGAAUUUCUGGAUAGCAUAAAGGAAUACUUGAAUAAAAGUUUUUCAAUGAAAGACCUCGGUGAAGCUGCUUAUAUAUUGGGCAUCAAGAUCUAUAGAGAUAGAUCAAGACGCUUAAUAGGACUUUCACAAAGCACAUACCUUGAUAAAAUUUUGAAAAAGUUCAAAAUGGAUCAGGCAAAGAAAGGGUUCUUGCCCGUACUACAAGGUGUGAAGUUGAGUCAAACUCAAUGCCCGACCACAUCAGAAGAUAGAGAGAAAAUGAAAGAUGUUCCCUAUGCUUCAGCCAUAGGCUCUAUCAUGUAUGCAAUGCUGUGUACCAGACCUGACGUAUGCUUAGCAAUAAGCUUGGCAGGAAGGUACCAAAGUAAUCCAGGAGUGGAUCACUGGACAGCGGUCAAGAACAUCCUGAAAUACCUGAAAAGGACUAAGGAUAUGUUUCUCGUAUAUGGAGGUGACAAAGAGCUAGUCGUAAAUGGUUACGUCGAUGCAAGCUUUGACACUGAUCCGGACGAUUCUAAAUCGCAAACCGGAUACGUGUUUUUAUUAAACGGUGGAGCUGUAAGUUGGUGCAGUUCUAAACAAAGCAUCGUGGCGGGAUCUACAUGUGAAGUGGAGUAUAUAGCUGCUUUGGAAGCAGCAAAUGAAGGAGUCUGGAUGAAGGAGUUCAUUUCCGAUCUAGGUGUCAUACCUAGUGCAUCGGGACCAAUGAAAAUCUUCUGUGACAAUACUGGUGCAAUUGCCUUGGCAAAGGAAUCCAUAUUUCACAAGAGGACCAAGCACAUCAAGAGACGCUUCAAUUCCAUUCGGGACCAAGUCCAAGUGGGAGACAUAGAGAUUUGCAAGAUACAUACGGAUCUGAAUGUUGCAGACCCGUUGACUAAGCCACUCUCACGAGCAAAACAUGAUCAGCACCAAGACUCAAUGGGUGUUAGAAUCAUUACUAUGUAAUCUAGAUUAUUGACUCUAGUGCAAGUGGGAGACUGAAGGAAAUAUGCCCUAGAGGCAAUAAUAAAGUUAUUAUUUAUUUCCUCAUAUCAUGAUAAAUGUUUAUUAUUCAUGCUAGAAUUGUAUUAACCGGAAACAUGAUACAUGUGUGAAUACAUAGACAAACAUAUAGUCACUAGUAUGCCUCUACUAGACUUGCUCGUUAAUCAAAGAUGGUUAUGUUUCCUAACCAUAGACAUGUGUUGUCAUUUGAUUAAUGGGAUCACAUCAUUAGGAUAAUGAUGUGAUUGACAUGACCCAUUCCGUUAGCCUAGCACUUGAUCGUUUAGUAUAUUGCUAUUGCUUUCUUCAUGACUUAUACAUGUUCCUGUAACUAUGAGAAUUAUGCAACUCCCGUUUACCGGAGGAACACUUUGGGUACUACCAAACAUCACAACGUAACUGGGUGAUUAUAAAGGAGUACUACAGGUGUCUCCGAAGGUACGUGUUGAGUUGGCGUAUUUCGAGAUUAGGUUUUGUCACUCCGAUUGUCGGAGAGGUAUCUCUGGGCCCUCUCGGUAAUGCACAUCACUAUAAGCCUUGCAAGCAAUGUGACCAAAUGAGUUGGUUACGGGAUGAUGCAUUACGGAACGAGUAAAGAGACUUGCCGGUAACGAGAUUGAACUAGGUAUUGGAUACAGACGAUCAAAUCUCGGGCAAGUAACAUACCGAUGACAAAGGGAACAACGUAUGUUGUUAUGCGGUUUGACCGAUAAAGAUCUUCGUAGAAUAUGUAGGAACCAAUAUGAGCAUCCAGGUUCCGCUAUUGGUUAUUGACCGAGAAUAGUUCUAGGUCAUGUCUACAUAGUUCUCGAACCCGUAGGGUCCGCACGCUUAACGUUACGAUGACAGUCUUAUUAUGAGUUUAUAAGUUUUGAUGUACCAAAGUUUGUUCGGAGUCCCGGAUGUGAUCACGGACGUAACGAGGAGUCUUGAAAUGGUCGAGACAUAAAGAUUGAUAUAUUGGAAGCCUAUAUUUGGACAUCGGAAUCGUUCCGGGUGAAAUCGGCAUUUUACCGGAGCAUCGGGAGGUUACCGGAACCCCCCCGGGGGGUUAUUGGGCCUACAUGGGCCUCGAGGGAGAAGAGGGAAGGAGGCAGGGUGGGUAUGGAGAGGCAAGAUCUCAGCUGGUGAAGGUGUACACACGAGGUUUACGAGUUCAGACCCUUCACAGUGGAAGUAACAGCCCUACGUCUCGGUGCCCGGAGGCGGUCGAUUGGAUUAUGUGUGUGAUAUUACAGGGGGGUUCGAACCCUUGUCCCAGAGGAGGGGGUGGCUUAUAUAGAGUGCGCCAGGACCCCCGCCCACCUCCAUUACAAGGGGCUUAAUGUACAUAAAGUAAGGGGUGUUACUGGUAACGCCAGCCUUAAGUGUUGUUAAUGCUUAUAAAGACUACGGAGUGAACGUCCGACCGUUGUGGUCCCUUCUGACUCCUGGUCUUCGAUAGGUCGAGUGACUCUCUGUAUGGUCGAGUGACGAUAGGGAGGAGUACCUCCGAGUGACGUGGUUGUCGAGUGGAUUGCACUCGACGUAUUCGACUGGCGCUCGCAUGUUGUCUCUUGGUCCUUUUAUCUUCCAGGGUAGUGACCUUGGGUAGGACGUAUAGGUCAGGCCUAUGACCCUACCCCAGGUCUGUAUCCUCAUAAUGCGGUCCUUUUCCUCCAUCACUGCAUGCGCUAGGACUACUCAUUUAUUGGUUGUGAGGCACACCGUGCAUUAAUUUCUCCAUUAAUUAGGCGUCGUAAUUAACAACCAAUGCUAUUUUCAGUAUUCCAAUCACUAACCAUCUUGGUCCCCGAGAUUUUUCUAGCACGCCAUGUAAACUGUGACGGAGAGAGUAGUUACCUUGUUGCACUAUAACGUUGUCAAGAUUUUGAAGGCCAUGGCACCAAGCCGCCAAAGCAGGAAUACCUUGACAGCGCCGCGUCCCCGUUGAUAAAUGUAUAUCGACAACUCUACCAAAAAGGAAAACUAGGUCGAAUUAGGAGCUGCAUUUUUUGAGGUUGUAGAUCAAAACAUUGAUGUGUGUCUACAAAUUUUUUUUAAGAAUGUUUGAACAUUUUUCUUUCAAAAAAAUCAAUCUCAUUGAUCUCACCUAAUAUAAGAUCUCACACAAGUCUUCCCUUUUUGUGCUGAUUCCUGAGCGCUUUGGCACUCUACCCUAAGCCGGGACUACGUCGAGUGCCGAGUGCCCGCAUGCAUGCAAUGGAGAGAAAUACUACUAGUACCUCACGUGAAUGCCUCGUCUCAUGCAGAUUCCUAUGGCGUGGGCAGUGAGCAAGGCGCCGCAUCCUUCAACCAGUAGAUGCCGCUGCAUGGUAUCCAUGAGUCUGUACACCCCUGGUCUAGCGAAGGUGUGAUCGUGACUUUGCGUUGGGACUCUAAUUUUUGUCACGGUGUAGCAGCACUUUCCUUGUGCCGUCCGCAUGCAUGCUAUGCAUGGGCCUACUUCCUUUAUGCAAAGCAAGAUCCCUAUAAAUACGCUCAAGCCUUCUUCUUAUCGACACCAACAAGCAGUUCUCUCUUGCACACACAUCAAUCGAUCACAAGUUCAUCACACACAGCCAGAGCUCCAUCCAUCACCUCGCGUCGUCCACGGCCAUGGCGCAAGUGAAAGCAGCACGGGCCACGAGGGAGGCCGUGCCCACGGUGUCCCGUGUGGCCAUCAUCGGCAGCGGGAUCAGCGGGCUCGCGGCCGCCAAGCAGAUGGCGGCCUACGACCCCGUGGUGUUCGAGGCGACGCCGUCCGUGGGCGGGGUGUGGAAACACUGCGUGUACCGCACCACGCGGCUCCAGACGCCACGCGCGAACUACGAGUUCUCCGACUACUCAUGGGGCAACCGUGACGACCCGGCGUUCCCGACCCACACCGAGGUCGUCGACUACCUCGAGGGCUACGCCGACGAGUUCGAUCUCUGGCGCUACAUCUCGUUCGGGUCCAAAGUGGUGGACAUCAAGUUCCUUGGCGGCGCCGAGGCCGGGUUCACCGAGCGGUGGAGCGGCACCGGCAAGGCUCCGCUCCAGGGCAAGCCCACGUGGGAGGUCGGCGUCGCCACCGGCGGCUCCGGCACUGUUCAGGCACAAGUUCCUCUACUUUGUAUUCUUGUCAUGCAUGAUUGCUUUUACAUACUUUGCACCGACUUCUGAUAAAUUCAAUCACCUCACGAGCAUAUUUUGCCACGGGAAUGUGCAGUAUUACAAGUUCGAGUUCGUGGUGAUGUGCACGGGGAAGUACGGCGACGUGCCGCGGAUGCCGGUGUUCCCGCCGGGAAAGGGGCCGGAGGUGUUCAAGGGGACGGUGAUGCACUCGCUGGACUACUGCAAGCUGAGCAAGGAGGAGACCGUUGAGCUGAUGAGAGGAAAGAAGGUUGUGGUGGUUGGGUACAAGAAGAGCGCUAUCGAUCUAGCCAACGAAUGUGUUCAGGCAAACCAAGGUGCGUAAAAGCAUACUCCCAUAGUUAGCUAGCUUCUACUGUGUCCAAAUUCUCCUAAGAGGAAGUGCAUUUUGUUAUCCCUCAACUUAUGACAAUUCUCCUACGAGUAAAUUUUGUCCAAAUUCUCCUAAGAGUAAACCAGGUUUUGGUCGAGGAAUCCACUAUUCGAUAUUAAGUGUUGGGACAGGAAGGUUGCACUAAGAUGUGGCCAACACUGUGCCACAUCAAGUUAAAAUCACGUUUGACCAAGGAAGGUCACUGUCAAAGACUUGAGAGUUGGGAGGUUGCACUAAAAAAAUUCAGGGACAAAAACCACAUUUCUUGAUAAGUUGAGGGAUGAAAAUGCACUUUACUCAUCUCCUAAAACAUGGAUCGGUCGAUUAACCGAUUAAGUUUGCUUUGCUUUUUUUGUUGGGACCAACUAUAAGUUAGGUGCCUGAAAAUAAAAGUCCAUCAGUCACUUCCAACCAGAGCCCUUAGGUCUUCAUCAAACAAUCAAAAAUAGAACACGCAUUGUUCAUAUUCUACCUCCCUCUCUUCUUGACACCGUCGGCCUGCCUCGCCCUAACUGUCAGCCUCCAUCACCCGGGCCGGCCAGCGCUACCGCGCACAGCCUCUCUGCCCUGGCCAUCCCUCUAGGCCUCGCCACAAUAGAGAAAAACCCCGGCGCUCUCCUGCACCCCCAUGGCUUCCCCCCACCCCUAAUAAUAGAUAGUGGGGUUGUCUUCUCCGGCGACUUCUCUAGACAGGUCCCGUGUGAAGGAAGAAAAGGGGGAAGGAGGAAGGUGACUGCAUGCGAGAUAAAAUUUCAGGUAGCUGAUACAUAGCACACCCUAGGUCUGAGUCGACUGAGACUUAACCAAGUCUCAGUCAAGUGAUAUAGUAUGCAAGAAGAAAAAGAAAAACAGAAAAUAUUUUUUUGUAUGAUCCCCAUGCAAAAUCAAAAAAAGAUAGUAUCGACUGAGACAUAACGAAGUUUCAAUCGACUGAGACUUAGCAAAAGUGAAUAGCAAAACCUUGUUUUCUUUGUUUGAAGGUGACGGCGGGCAGGCGUGCACGAUGCUGGUGCGGACCCUGCACUGGAUGGUGCCGUCAUACGCCAUCUGGGGCUUGCCAUUCUUCCUGUUUUACUCGACACGUUUCUCCCAGCUCUUCUACGAGCGGCCCAACCAGAGCUUCUUCAGAUCCCUCCUCUGCCGCCUCAUGAGCCCACUGGUAUGUAUGUGUACGUCAUAAUUCGCAGCCGUGAAGAACAUUACUUAUUGCACAAACCAUGCAUGCACAAAUUUCUCAUGACAGCAGCAACCAUGCAUGCAUGGAUGAAUCUUGGUGGUGCAGCGGGCAGGGGUGUCGAAGUUCAUCGAGUCGUACCUGUUGUGGAAGCUGCCGCUGGGCAAGUACGGUCUGACGCCGGACCACCCCUUUGUCGAGGACUACGCCAGCUGCCAACUGGCCUUCCUCCCGGAGGGCUUCUUCGACAUGGCUGACCACGGCCUGGUGCGCUUCAAGAGGGCCCCCGACGGGUGGUGGCUCUCGGAGAUCGGCGUCGUCCUCGAAGACGGCACCGGGGUGGAGGCCGACCUCGUCUUCCUCGCCACCGGCUUCGAGAGCACGGACAAGCUCCGCGAGGUCCUCCCUAAGCCCUUCCGCGGCCUCCUCGUCGACGAGUCCUCCAUGAUGCCCCUCUACCAGUACGUGUAUAGUACUCCAUCCAUCUCAUAAUAAAAGAUGUUUUUUGGCACUACAUUAGGCCCUGUUUGGUUCAUAAGUCCUAUGACUUUUUUAGUCCCAACUUAUAAGUCUCAAGUCCCUAAAAAGUCUCUACCUGUUUGGUUCAUGAAACUUAUAAGUCCCUAUAAGAACAUAUUACAACUAUAAGUCCUUAUAAGACUCUCUUGAGAGUCUUAUUUCAUAAGUCAUAAAUGCCCACUUCAAGUCCUUAUAAGUCCCUUCUAUUUGGUUUAGAUGGAACUUAUAGGGACUUUUUUAAGUCCCUAAAUCAAUAAGUCCUGGAAACAAACACCCUCUUAGUCAUACGUUAUUGGAACCGAGGGAGUAGCAUGUUUAUCAUUAGUUACACGUGCAUGUACCCAGUGCCUGAUGACUGAUGUGUUUGUGCAGCGGCACGAUCCACCCGCUGAUCCCGAACAUGGCAUUCGUGGGGUUCGUGGAGAGCGCAUCGAACCUGCACACGUCGGAGCUGCGGUGCCGAUGGCUGGCGGGGCUGCUGGAGGGGCGGUUCGAGCUGCCUACCGUGCAGGCCAUGAUGAGGCACGUCGCCGGCGAGGCCGACGCCAUGCGUCGCACCAC
rnacentral:lncRNA from 1 species